rnacentral:rRNA from 1 species
AUUGAACGCUGGCGGCAUGCCUUACACAUGCAAGUCGAACGGUAACGCGGGGCAACCUGGCGACGAGUGGCGAACGGGUGAGUAACGCAUCGGAACGUGCCCAGUAGUGGGGGAUAGCCCGGCGAAAGCCGGAUUAAUACCGCAUACGACCUACGGGUGAAAGGGGGGGAUCGCAAGACCUCUCGCUAUUGGAGCGGCCGAUGUCAGAUUAGGUAGUUGGUGGGGUAAAGGCCUACCAAGCCGACGAUCUGUAGCUGGUCUGAGAGGACGACCAGCCACACUGAGACUGAGACACGGCCCAGACUCCUACGGGAGGCAGCAGUGGGGAAUUUUGGACAAUGGGCGAAAGCCUGAUCCAGCCAUGCCGCGUGCGGGAAGAAGGCCUUCGGGUUGUAAACCGCUUUUGUCAGGGAAGAAAUCUUCUGGGUUAAUACCUCGGGAGGAUGACGGUACCUGAAGAAUAAGCACCGGCUAACUACGUGCCAGCAGCCGCCGCCGUAA